CCAUAGCACUUAGUAUCUGAUAUACUAGUGGUGUUUUCAGUGUUUUCUUUCUUUUCAGUAUUUCCUUCUCUACCUGCCCUAAUAGAAUAUAAAUUCCAUAGGGUGAGGGAUGUUGUCUGCUGUUUUGUUCAUUGCUGUACCUCCAGGGCCUAGGAUGGUGUCUAGCAUAUAGCAAACACUCACCAAACAGUUGUUAAUACACAGGAACUUCACACAUGGAAGGGCUGGCGUGACAGGAAGGCUUCAUCCUGACUCAGCAAUGUUGGUUCUCUCAUCGUUUACCUUACAUAUCACCUCCUUGGAGAGUCCUCUCCAACCACCUUAGCUGAAGUUUUAUUGUCUAAAUCUAUUACAAUUUUAUUUACUUAUCUGUGUACUUGAUUUUAUGCUCAUCUCUCUCCCCACAAUGUCACUUCUGUAAGCAAGAGACUGGCAACGCAAGAGGCGUUCAGUAAAUAUUAACUGAAUGGAUGAUUAAAGAAUUAUCACCCCAGCCCUGACAUCAAAGAUUUCCAGGUGAUGUUCAAGAGAUCAAACUGAGUUGGUAAUUUAAUUUAGGAACAAAUGUAACUGAAGUUUAGCCAAAAAGGAAUGUAGAUCAAAUGCCAGUGUUUCUCAAUUAAUGCUAAAACUGUAUGAUUUUAAAAAGCAGUGUCUCUAGGACGCUACAUGUAACUGUAAAUUGCCUAAAUAAUUCAGAACAAUCUGUAGACCCUGAAUGUGAAAAAAGCUUUCCUUUAACAUUGACAAUGAUACUGAAGAAGAAAGCUGCAUGUGACUAUACGUUUAAAUAAAUGCUGUUGUCAGUUCAUUUCAAAAAUUGCAAGUGCAUAAUGUAGUGUUUUGUUUGGCCCAAAUGUUUUAAUUAAACUGCUGAUAUAUUUGCAAAUUGACGGCAAUUGCGAACUAAGCAAAUAGGUCAGUGUUUCCCUGACUCUGCUUCCAACUGCCACGAUAGGAUUCUAUCACCCCCACCCACUUCCCCCAGUAUCUCCAGCAGCUCUGAAGCAAGCUUUGAGGCAGCCAUCUUGGUCCAGCUGCUUCAAUAAAUGGUCUGAAUGUGUUCCCCUCAAAAUUUAUAUGUUGAAACCUGACCUCCAAGAUGAUAGUAUUACAAGGUGGGGGCUAUGGAAGGUGAUUAGUUUACUAGGACAGGACCGUCAUGAAUGGGGUUAGUGUCCUUAUAAAAGAGACCCAAGAACAUCCCUGCCACUUUCUGCCAUUGAGGACACAGCAAGGAAUCCGCAGUCUGCAACCAGAAGAGGGCUUUCACCAGAACCCAACUGUGCUGGCAACCUGAUCUUGGACUUCCAGCCUUCAGAACUGAACUGAGAGGAGGAAUGGGAAAGUUAAAAUGACAAAGUGGAACAGGGAGAACAGGAGAUUUCAGCCAAGGAAGCCUUUACAGAAGCAGAAGGCACCCCAGCAGCGAGACCAGCACCCCCAAGCUCCUUCCCUGGAACUACAUACACUCAGCAGCUCAGCAUCAGGCCGCCACAGCUUUGAACCGGAAGAAAACAAGGAAUGAUCAGCCUGUGGAGAAAAUGUCUCCCAAGAACCGAGAAUCCCAAGCAGAAAGAAUGAGAGCACACACUUGCACCACCACCAUUUGUUCCAGUAGAUCUCAUGUUGCCCAAAAGGUCCCAAGAAAUUAAAUAUCUCUGCCCUCGACCCCAUCCCGGCCAACCUUUCCUUCUCCCACAUCAGCCCAUUACCUUCCCACCCAUCCUGCUCCCUCCAGCUCAACACAUCAAGUCAGCUCAACUCAAUCACACAAAGCAAGAGAACUGCAUUUGAGACUCAAAACACUCUCCAUUCAGUUAUGCAUGGAAGAGCCGAAGAUAGCACUGGCAAAUACGUGGCAUAAGCCCUGGUCCUCCCUCCUCUGGUGCCAGAUCAGACAUCAACAAUCAAUCACACUGUUUUCCAGCUGAUCCCAGACAAAGCUCCAAAACCCCUCUCCCAGCUCUCCAGGCAGCCACCAUCCAUCAGUCAAAGCUGUCAGUUGAGAUAAGAUCUACUUGCUAAGUAUAGGAAGACUUAAGUCAAACCAGGACUCUAUAUUCAUGUAUUAGGUACAGCAAAGAAUAGUGACCAACUACACAGUAGUAAGCACUCUGUAGGCAAUGAAUAAAUAUGUUCUAGUGACUUAUGCACAACCUGCCAUGCACCUAUAAAAUGUUCAAAAAUUACAGAAGAACUCUACUAGGGUGAUUUGUUUGGGGAAUGACCUCAAAUUAUAACUCUUUUAUAUUUAAAUUUACUAAAAACUCUAAAAUUAUGGAAAUGCAAACUGGUGGAGCCACUCUGGAAAACAGUAUGGAGGUUCCUC